rnacentral:rRNA from 1 species
GUUGUUGCGGUUAAAACGUUCGUAGUUGAAUUUGUGCUUCAUACGGGUAGUACAACUAUAUAUUGUGGUAUGUACAUUACCUUAUGUAUGUAAGCGUAUUACCGGUGGAGUUCUUAUAUAUAAUUAAUACAAUGUAUUUUUUAUAUAUUCCUCCUAUUUAAACCUACUUCAGUGCUCUUCAUCGAGUGUUGUUGUGGGCCGGUACAAUUACUUUGAACAAAUUAGAGUGCUUAAAGCAGGCUCCAAAUGCCUGAAUAUUUUGUGCAUGGAAUAAUGAAAUAAGACCUCUGUUCUACUUUCAUUGGUUUUUAGAUCAAGAGGUAAUGAUUAAUAGAAGCAGUUUGGGGGCAUUAGUAUUACGACGCGAGAGGUGAAAUUCUUGGACCGUCGUAAGACUAACUUAAGCGAAAGCAUUUGCCAAAGAUGUUUUCAUUAAUCAAGAACGAAAGUUAGAGGUUCGAAGGCGAUCAGAUACCGCCCUAGUUCUAACCAUAAACGAUGCCAGCUAGCAAUUGGGUGUAGCUACUACUAUGGCUCUCUCAGUCGCUUCCCGGGAAACCAAAGCUUUUGGG